rnacentral:rRNA from 1 species
AACGAACGCUGGCGGCAUGCCUAACACAUGCAAGUCGAACGAGACCUUCGGGUCUAGUGGCGCACGGGUGCGUAACGCGUGGGAACCUGCCCUUAGGUUCGGAAUAACUCCCCGAAAGGUGUGCUAAUACCGGAUAAUGUCUUCGGACCAAAGAUUUAUCGCCUUUGGAUGGGCCCGCGUUGGAUUAGCUAGUUGGUAGGGUAAAAGCCUACCAAGGCGACGAUCCAUAGCUGGUCUGAGAGGAUGAUCAGCCGCACUGGGACUGAGACACGGCCCAGCCUGCUACGGGGGGCAGCAGUGGGGAAUAUUGGACGAUGGGCGAAAGCCUGAUCCAGCCAUGCCGCGGGAGUGGUGAAGGGCUUAGGGUUGUAAAGCUCUUUUACCCGGGAUGAUAAUGACAGUACCGGGAGAAUAAGCUCCGGCUAACUCCGUG